CAGUUGUAGUUGAAUAAAUGUCGAGAAGUUAACUGACCAAUUGUUGCGAGAUCUUGCGAUCUCCGUUGGCGAAUCUGCUAUCCCGAGCUUCUCACACUU